AUUGAACGCUGGCGGCAGGCCUAACACAUGCAAGUCGAGCGAGCGGCGGACGGGUGAGUAAUGUAUGGGGACUGCCCGAUAGAGGGGGAUAACUACUGGAAACGGUGGCUAAUACCGCAUACUAUCGGAUAACCCUUAUGGGAUUAGCUAGUAGGUGGGGUAAAGGCUCACCUAGGCGACGAUCUCUAGCUGGUCUGAGAGGAUGAUCAGCCUCGCUGGGACUGAGACACGGCGCAGACUCGUACGGAGGCAGCAGGGGGGAAGAUUGCACAAUGGUCGCAAGCCUGAUGCAUCGAUCCCGCGUGUAUGAAGAAGGCCUUAGGGUUGUAAAGGACUGUCAGCCAUGACGCGGUAGUGGCAGAAUAAGCACCGGCUAACUACGUGCCAGCCGCCGCGGUAAUAC
rnacentral:rRNA from 1 species